rnacentral:snoRNA from 1 species
GUAAGUGACAUUUUUCAUGCCCUUGGCCUUUUAUAGGGUUCCAUACCAGAGCAAACUGUGGCCUCUAAUCAUUGCCUGGCCUAUCUCUAUAAGCUGCUGGCCCCCUGUAGUGGGUUGCAUGGGG